AUUGAACGCUGGCGGCAGGCCUAACACAUGCAAGUCGAGCGGAUGAGAGGAGCUUGCUCCUUGAUUCAGCGGCGGACGGGUGAGUAAUGCCUAGGAAUCUGCCUGGUAGUGGGGGAUAACGUUCCGAAAGGAACGCUAAUACCGCAUACGUCCUACGGGAGAAAGCAGGGGACCUUCGGGCCUUGCGCUAUCAGAUGAGCCUAGGUCGGAUUAGCUAGUUGGUGAGGUAAUGGCUCACCAAGGCGACGAUCCGUAACUGGUCUGAGAGGAUGAUCAGUCACACUGGAACUGAGACACGGUCCAGACUCCUACGGGAGGCAGCAGUGGGGAAUAUUGGACAAUGGGCGAAAGCCUGAUCCAGCCAUGCCGCGUGUGUGAAGAAGGUCUUCGGAUUGUAAAGCACUUUAAGUUGGGAGGAAGGGCAGUAAGUUAAUACCUUGCUGUUUUGACGUUACCAACAGAAUAAGCACCGGCUAACUUCGUGCCAGCCGCCGCAGUAAGAC
rnacentral:rRNA from 1 species